rnacentral:lncRNA from 1 species
CACCUCCGAUCUCCUUCUUCGGUGCCUCCUCUCGCCCGCCCAGCCCAGGCGGCCCCAGGGCCGGACACCCGAACUUUAGCACCCGAGCCCGCGCUGCUGUCAGGUACCCAGGGGGCAGGACGCCCGCGGCACCUCGAGUGCAAGCCCUCCGGACGGCGCCUUUGCCUCAAGGCCUGCUGAACGUGAACCUCAAGACAACAAAAGGGAGCACAUCUGAGAGAAGCAGAAGAGAGUAUGCCCUGAAGAAUGUGUGUAAGAACUUGUUUUUCUGCCAGAGGGUAUGCCAGUACCACCCUUGACUGGGAAACUCUCCCCUACAGUGAGAAAUCGAAAACAAAAUUAAUAGUAUAGUAAAUGUAUACCAUAAACACUCAUUUCUAACCACCUAAUAAGUUGCAACUAAUCACGUCGCCUGGUAACGCAGGUGUCUACAAUAAAGAACUUGAACCUAAUGGCA